rnacentral:misc_RNA from 1 species
AAUUCUCAACCUCUCUAGCUUUGUAAAAGUCUGGCUAGGUUGGAUUUUGGAAGUUGCUGGCUUCAAGAAAUCAGCUCUUCUUAAAUGCAUCAGCAGAACCUUUACUGAUGAUCUUUGGUAUGAUAAUUAUCUAUACCAUAGUACUUCAGUGUCUUCUAUUGAAGGGGUUGUGCUUAAAAUCGUCUAUAUCAGACAAUUUUGAUAAU